rnacentral:rRNA from 1 species
AAAGACCUCGGUCGCUUUGGGAGGAGCUCGCUUACUAUCAGCUUGUUGGUAGGGUAACGGCCUACCAAGGCUAUGACGGUUAGGGGGUGUGAGAGCAUGACCCCCAGCAUUGGCACUGAAACACUGGCCAAACACCUACGGGUGGCUGCAGUCGAGAAUCUUCCACAAUGGGGGAAACCCUGAUGGAGCGAUGCUGCGUGCGGGAUGAAGGCCUUCGGGUUGUAAACCGCUUUUGUAGGGGACGAAAUUUUUGACGGUACCCUUUCGAAUAAGAGGUUGCUAACUCUGUGCCAGCAGCAGCGGUAAUACAGAGACCUCAAGCGUUAUCCGGAUUUACUGGGCGUAAAGCGUCUGUAGGGGGUUUAUUAAGUUCCAAGUAAAAUUUCAAGGCUCAACUUUGAAUUCGCUUGGAAAACUAAUAAACUGGAGUCUAGCAGAGGUGCAUGGAACUUGUGGUGUAGGAGUGAAAUCCGUUGAUAUCACAAGGAACACCAAAGGCGAAGGCAUUGCACUGGGCUAGCACUGACCCUGAGAGACGAAAGCGUGGGGAGCAAAACGGAUUAGAUACCCGUGUA